GAUGAACGCUAGCGGCAGGCUUAACACAUGCCAGUCGAGGGGCAGCGCGGGAUAGCAAUAUCCUGGCGGCGACCGGCGGAAGGGUGCGUAACGCGUGAGCGACAUGCCCGUUGCCCGGGGACAACCGGUGGAAACGCCGACUAAUCCCCGAUGGGAUACGAUGCUUCAUGGCAUUGUAUUGAAAGUUACGGCGGCGACGGAUUGGCUCGCGUCCGAUUAGCUGGUUGGCGGGGUAACGGCCCACCAAGGCUGCGAUCGGUAGGGGUUCUGAGAGGAAGGCCCCCCACAAUGGGACUGAGACACGGCCCAUACUCCGACGGGAGGCAGCAGUGAGGAAUAUUGGUCAAUGGGCGGAAGCCUGAACCAGCCAUGCCGCGUGCGGGAAGGAGGCCCUAUGGGCUGUGAACCGCUUUUGCCUGGGGGCAAUAAGGGCGUCGCGCACGUCCGAUGAGAGUACCAGGCGAAUAAGCAUCGGCUAACUCCGUG
rnacentral:rRNA from 1 species